ensembl:snRNA U6 U6 spliceosomal RNA
GUAUUUGCUUUAGCAGUACACAUUCUAAAAUUGGAACAAUAUAGAUAAGCUUGGCAUGGUGCCUGUGCAAGGAUGACAUGCAAAUUCAUGAGGCGUUCCAUAUUUUU